rnacentral:rRNA from 2 species
AUAACCGGCGAUUUCCGAAUGGGGAAACCCAGUGUGUUUCGACACACUAUCAUUAACUGAAUCCAUAGGUUAAUGAGGCGAACCGGGGGAACUGAAACAUCUAAGUACCCCGAGGAAAAGAAAUCAACCGAGAUUCCCCCAGUAGCGGCGAGCGAACGGGGAGGAGCCCAGAGCCUGAAUCAGUGUGUGUGUUAGUGGAAGCGUCUGGAAAGGCGCGCGAUACAGGGUGACAGCCCCGUACACAAAAAUGCACAUAUUGUGAGCUCGAUGAGUAGGGCGGGACACGUGGUAUCCUGUCUGAAUAUGGGGGGACCAUCCUCCAAGGCUAAAUACUCCUGACUGACCGAUAGUGAACCAGUACCGUGAGGGAAAGGCGAAAAGAACCCCGGCGAGGGGAGUGAAAAAGAACCUGAAACCGUGUACGUACAAGCAGUGGGAGCCUCUUAAUGGGGUGACUGCGUACCUUUUGUAUAAUGGGUCAGCGACUUAUAUUCUGUAGCAAGGUUAACCGAAUAGGGGAGCCGAAGGGAAACCGAGUCUUAACUGGGCGUUAAGUUGCAGGGUAUAGACCCGAAACCCGGUGAUCUAGCCAUGGGCAGGUUGAAGGUUGGGUAACACUAACUGGAGGACCGAACCGACUAAUGUUGAAAAAUUAGCGGAUGACUUGUGGCUGGGGGUGAAAGGCCAAUCAAACCGGGAGAUAGCUGGUUCUCCCCGAAAGCUAUUUAGGUAGCGCCUCGUGAAUUCAUCUCCGGGGGUAGAGCACUGUUUCGGCAAGGGGGUCAUCCCGACUUACCAACCCGAUGCAAACUGCGAAUACCGGAGAAUGUUAUCACGGGAGACACACGGCGGGUGCUAACGUCCGUCGUGAAGAGGGAAACAACCCAGACCGCCAGCUAAGGUCCCAAAGUCAUGGUUAAGUGGGAAACGAUGUGGGAAGGCCCAGACAGCCAGGAUGUUGGCUUAGAAGCAGCCAUCAUUUAAAGAAAGCGUAAUAGCUCACUGGUCGAGUCGGCCUGCGCGGAAGAUGUAACGGGGCUAAACCAUGCACCGAAGCUGCGGCAGCGACACUAUGUGUUGUUGGGUAGGGGAGCGUUCUGUAAGCCUGUGAAGGUGUACUGUGAGGGUUGCUGGAGGUAUCAGAAGUGCGAAUGCUGACAUAAGUAACGAUAAAGCGGGUGAAAAGCCCGCUCGCCGGAAGACCAAGGGUUCCUGUCCAACGUUAAUCGGGGCAGGGUGAGUCGACCCCUAAGGCGAGGCCGAAAGGCGUAGUCGAUGGGAAACAGGUUAAUAUUCCUGUACUUGGUGUUACUGCGAAGGGGGGACGGAGAAGGCUAUGUUGGCCGGGCGACGGUUGUCCCGGUUUAAGCGUGUAGGCUGGUUUUCCAGGCAAAUCCGGAAAAUCAAGGCUGAGGCGUGAUGACGAGGCACUACGGUGCUGAAGCGACAAAUGCCCUGCUUCCAGGAAAAGCCUCUAAGCAUCAGGUAACAUCAAAUCGUACCCCAAACCGACACAGGUGGUCAGGUAGAGAAUACCAAGGCGCUUGAGAGAACUCGGGUGAAGGAACUAGGCAAAAUGGUGCCGUAACUUCGGGAGAAGGCACGCUGAUAUGUAGGUGAAGCGACUUGCUCGUGGAGCUGAAAUCAGUCGAAGAUACCAGCUGGCUGCAACUGUUUAUUAAAAACACAGCACUGUGCAAACACGAAAGUGGACGUAUACGGUGUGACGCCUGCCCGGUGCCGGAAGGUUAAUUGAUGGGGUUAGCGGUAACGCGAAGCUCUUGAUCGAAGCCCCGGUAAACGGCGGCCGUAACUAUAACGGUCCUAAGGUAGCGAAAUUCCUUGUCGGGUAAGUUCCGACCUGCACGAAUGGCGUAAUGAUGGCCAGGCUGUCUCCACCCGAGACUCAGUGAAAUUGAACUCGCUGUGAAGAUGCAGUGUACCCGCGGCAAGACGGAAAGACCCCGUGAACCUUUACUAUAGCUUGACACUGAACAUUGAGCCUUGAUGUGUAGGAUAGGUGGGAGGCUUUGAAGUGUGGACGCCAGUCUGCAUGGAGCCGACCUUGAAAUACCACCCUUUAAUGUUUGAUGUUCUAACGUGGGCCCCUUACCGGGGUUGCGGACAGUGUCUGGUGGGUAGUUUGACUGGGGCGGUCUCCUCCUAAAGAGUAACGGAGGAGCACGAAGGUUGGCUAAUCCUGGUCGGACAUCAGGAGGUUAGUGCAAUGGCAUAAGCCAGCUUGACUGCGAGCGUGACGGCGCGAGCAGGUGCGAAAGCAGGUCAUAGUGAUCCGGUGGUUCUGAAUGGAAGGGCCAUCGCUCAACGGAUAAAAGGUACUCCGGGGAUAACAGGCUGAUACCGCCCAAGAGUUCAUAUCGACGGCGGUGUUUGGCACCUCGAUGUCGGCUCAUCACAUCCUGGGGCUGAAGUAGGUCCCAAGGGUAUGGCUGUUCGCCAUUUAAAGUGGUACGCGAGCUGGGUUUAGAACGUCGUGAGACAGUUCGGUCCCUAUCUGCCGUGGGCGCUGGAGAACUGAGGGGGGCUGCUCCUAGUACGAGAGGACCGGAGUGGACGCAUCACUGGUGUUCGGGUUGUCAUGCCAAUGGCACUGCCCGGUAGCUAAAUGCGGAAGAGAUAAGUGCUGAAAGCAUCUAAGCACGAAACUUGCCCCGAGAUGAGUUCUCCCUGACUCCUUGAGAGUCCUGAAGGAACGUUGAAGACGACGACGUUGAUAGGCCGGGUGUGUAAGCGCAGCGAUGCGUUGAGCUAACCGGUACUAAUGAACCGUGAGGCUUAACCUU